AAGCUGUGUAGACAGAGAGACAUACAGACCACCUCUCGUCCUCUCCACUAUGUCUCUCGCUGUGUCCUGUCCUACAAUUGGAUUAUUGCACUCCCUGUCCCUUCCAAUUCUAGACAGCUCUCAUAGAUUUAAUAUGCCAGUGGAAUUUGGUAUAUGAGUUAAUUUAGAUGUAAACCUCAUGACAUGUGGCUUGUGACAUCCUGUCUGUCUGUAGAAACAGAGUCAUUAACUCUGUGUGUGCUCAUUAAUGCCUUUCUGUUUAAGCAGAGCUGAGGAAAGCUGAGCUGGACGAAAAUAAAAGACAAAGCAGAACACCCUUUCAAUGGAAAGUACACAAUGAAUAUGAAUCUAUCAAUUUCAAUUCCCUCUGCAGGGACAAGACUCUAUGCUGUCCAGACUGGAGCGGACUGCGGCUUUAAGUGGCUCACUCUCAACACCCUGAAAGAGCGAGCCAGAGAGGUAAACUAUGCCCACAGGUAAUGAGACUUAAUAGUGUUUGUGUAUGUGACCCCUGCUAGCCUAAUCUUCUGAGCCACCCUACUGCUAUGCAAUGGAGGACCUGAACAAUAAAGGUUCAAUUUAAAUUAAAUUAAAAUAAAACCACAGUGCCUCAUCUACAUCUACCUACUGUACCAACAUAUCAGGA